rnacentral:lncRNA from 1 species
AUAAGGAAAGAAAACACUGAUCUCAUGACAAUACUUCAAACUUUGAAUAUAAUUCAACCCAGGCAAAACUAUCACCCACCAAAAUAAAAAAUGCAAUCUUGAGUAACGACAAGACGGAACAUUACUAGUUCAACAGUUACAAUAACGACAAAUAGUGACGGCAAGAAAAACCAAAGAAUGUUUCAAUCCUCUUCCUCUUUCCGACCGAGUCAAACGGACUGGUCAUUGAGAUAUCCUAGGAUUUUUGGUACUUUUUUUUGGACCUUACUCUCAUUUUCCCUUUGGCAUAUAAUAAACCAAAGGAGCCUACGAGGUGGUCCUGCUAGCAACACUGCUAGCUUGACAGCCGUGACACCAACUACUUGUAACCACAUGAUCAACACAGUCAAACAACAACUACGAACCAAAUAGCAUCUGGCUAGAAACUGCUAAAUAAACUAAAAGCAACAAACAUUAGCCAGAAAACCAAUCAUUCUAGCCACAAGCAAUACGCCAAGAGAGGCAUUAGGCUGAAGAUUAAUCCAUAACAAUAAAAGUGGAUGACAGAUUACGGAACCAAGAUGAAAAAAAUGAAUAGACGAAAACGACGUGAUACAAUCCAAAUAAGAAUUAAUCCUAACAUAACAAUACAUCCAAAACUUUUCACUAAAAAAAACUUAUAUGGUCUUUAAAACCUCUACAGAGGUCAGCCCAACAUACAAGAUAAUCUCAAAUUACUUAGGACUACAGAAUAGUGAGAUGAAGCAGAAGAAAUCUUAAGCUUAAAGGAAUAGGACGUUACCUUUCAGGGAGCGGCAAAACGGGACUGGAGCUAUCAGUAAAAUUGUCACCACGGGGAGCUAAUAUUUUCGACUCGGGAAUUCCCAAUCAAUCGACUAGCUUCCCAGAAAAGAAUGAAUGAGAGAAUUUUUGCGAAAUAAACUUUUACUUUAAGAAUUUCCCAAAAUUCAAACCUAGCUUUGGAAAUAGUAUCCCUAAAAGAAUAACCACCACCACCACCCCCCUCCCAAUUUUCGAAACAGCCUUUCGAACCAGCCUAAAAAAUUUUCCUUCAGUUUCUUUCAAAACCUCUGAAUCUUUGACCUAAACUUCGAACUAAAAAACUCAGAACUUUUCCUUUCUCUCAGACCUCAAAAAUUCAAACCCUAAAAAUGACGCAGAAGAAAACCCUUCCCUUUUCGAACCACCCCCAUUUUUGACUAAUUAAUUUUUUUAUUUUUCUAAGAGCCUAAAAAGAGAAAAUCCCCUUCCAAAAGAGAAAGAAUAUCACUAAAACAGUGGGCCCAAGGGACUUUAUAUAGAAGAAAGGGUUAGGGUAUUUUCGAAAUUCGGAAGAAGGAAUUUUGAAUUCCAAUUCCAAAAUUUUCUCCCCCCGAGCCUGUUUUCAUCCAUCGAUUGUACCCUUUUUUGUUGUUUCUCAUGAAAUUCGAAAAUGGAGUAGCCAAUAGAAAGCACUUCACCCCAAGAACCAAUGAUAAAUCUCCACCAACGUAUGAAUUUGUACCAUGGUACCCGAGAUUCGUGGGAUUUGAACGUUGGGGUGUGCCAACUCACCCAUUUCUAGAAGCUUUCUUGAAUUUUUAUGGCAAACACAUGCCAUCUAGGCGGGUCAAAGUUGGUUCGACGUUGGUGUUGUUGUUUCGGGUAUGGGAGACGGGUUCGCUGGUUGUUGAUAUUGUUGGGUUCUGAAUUUGCAAUGUUGCCGUUGUUUUCGAUCGGAGUGGAGAUAUAGGUGUUGUUUGCUAGUUUGGCUGAGAUUGAAGGACCGUCAAUGUUAUUGUUGGUUUGUUUUGUGGUGAUUGUACUCUGGUUAAGGGAAAGUGGGACGAGCAUUGGGACGGAUCAAGAUUUGUUGGGCCUUAGUGGGUGCAGACGGAUUUGGACCUGAUCCCUUUUUAAUUAAUUAAAAGGGAGUUACUGAUAUGCAAAUUUGGGCCAUCGAUUUGGGCCGUUAAAUUAGUUAAGUUUUUGGGUUUGGGUAGAUUGUGGGAUUAGUUAGAAAAAUAACAUCAAUUUUAAUUCAGUUCAUUCUAUUUAAAUUUUAACCAAAUCAAAAGUAAAUUGGCCAAUUGUAUUGCAAUUAUAACCCAUUUAGUUUCAAUUAUGGUCAAAUUCAAUAGCUUGGCUAAAUUAAAAUAAAUCUUGAUACGAAUUAAUACCUAUUUUAAUCCCAAGUUUCUUGAUUUAAUAAAAUCAAACAAAUAUAUAUCCAAAAAAAUUAUUUGACAAUAAUUUUUUUUUAAAUCAAGACUUUAAUUAUUUAUUUAUUUUUCAAAUAAUCCUUAAUUUAAAGCCCAAUGUGAUGAAAAUGUUCAUUUAAAUGACAUCAUUUAUACAAUCUCAUAUAUGAAAAAAUGAAAAUAUAUAAUUAUCACUUAAAUGACCAAAUUAGCCCAAAUACCUAUUUUAAAAUGCAUUUAUUUGGAAAAAUAAUUUUUGUGAUUUUAUUUAAAAAUCGAAGAAGCUCGAGAUUAAAUGUAGUUGUAGAGGGAAAAAAUUAGGUGUCAACAACUGCCCCCUCCCUUUGGGUAGGAUGGAUGCAAGUAAUCCUGGACAAAGGGAGGUUGACGUUCCUAAUUUUUGUCCGACCAUAAAUUUGUAUCUAAGAGAGGCUGGUUUUCUGCACCAGUUUCAUGGAGUUAUGGCCAAACCUCGGUAUAAGGUUUCCUACAUAUCUCAAGUUUCAUGAGAAUUCAGGCCACUUGUAGUUCAUAAAGUUUGAUUUUGAGCAUGAUUUUAAAACAAUUCACAAGUUAUCUCGAUUUUAGAGUUUUUGAUAAAAUCGAGAAACUGGGGAAUAAAGGGAUUAGGGGGGAGUUUGGAAUUCAAUCGAGUUUUCUAAAUAGAUUUCAGCCUACAUAUCCCCAAGAUUUUAGGGAAUUAGAUUGCUUGUAGUUCGACUUGAUCGGUAGAAAAGAUUGUCUUUUAUUUCAGACGAUCUUUGGCUCAAGAUGAGUGGCAAGUUGAUCGAGUUGCGGAAAAGAGGCUUGUAACCUCUUAACCAUGAACGUAGAGCUCUUCACAUCUAUAUGUAAGAAUUUACCUAGGCAUAAUUUCAAAAACUCUAUAGCUUUAUCACUCACAUUCGAAGGAAAAAAAAAUUUCCCCUCGGUGUGAGUUAAGAAAACAUCCCAGAGGUAAAGCUAAGACUGUAAUAUCAAAAAAUACCCGCAUUCCUUCUAAUAGAGGCGUGGUUAGAUGGUGGUGGUGAUCAUUAUUUAGCUCGUGUCUAGAGAGGUUGACAUCUCUCUCCAGACUAUGUCCCAUUUUGCUGCCGAGAAAGAGUUCCACGUCGUGCUGUCUUCUUUUUUGGAGUCGUCUGCACCUGUGGUUUUGAUUUGAGAUUUUCAUCCUUUCGGAUUCUCUCAAUUAUUUCUCAUACAAAAAUCAUUAGUGAUAAGCUUAAUUCACAAAAGAAGUAUAUAGUAUUAUACCAUAUCUCCGCGUGAGUCAUUGUCUAAAAAGCGAAGUCAUCCUUUUUUGUACCUGUUUGAUAGGAAAUAACUCGCAAUAACAGACACAACAACCUCUUUGGUUGUUGCAUAAUUAGCUCAUCUAUCAAGCGAAUAUGUUUUCAAAGUGGGUGGCCCUUUUAGACACUGACGACACUUUAUACGGAACGGUCCCUACAAUCGUGUAAUCUUGUGCUGGUGGGGCAACCCUUUUGGUUACCUAUAUCACUUGUUGUAUAUGGAAUGGUAACCUCUCCGGUUAUAGACGAUGGCUAAUUUAUAAAUUUCCUUUAAAUUGUCAAUCUUUGAAUAAUCUUGCGCAUUAUUUAAUGUUGGAUACGAGGCAACUUAUAGAUAUUCUUUGAAUUUCUAGCUUUUAAGUAAUCCUGCACAUUAUCCAACUUUGGAUAAGAGAUGGCUUAUAGAUAUCCCUCCAAUCGCUAGCUUUCAGGUGUUCCUGCACAUCAUCCAACCUUGGAUACAAUAUGACUUAUAGAUAAUCUCUCAAAUUGUUAGUCUUUGGGUAAUCCUGCACAUAAUCGAUCUUGGAUAUGACAUGGCUUAUAGAGAACCCUUGGACGUACCAAUUUGAUAAUCUUGCAUAUUCUCCGGUAAGGAUUUAGUUUCGACUUAUGGAUAACCUUUGAACUAUCGACUUUUGGGUGAUCUUGCACACUAUCCGAUUAGGAUGUUGUUGUGGCUUACGGAUGACCUGCAGGCUAUCAACUCAUAGGUGAUCUUGCACACUAUCCUAUUUCAAAUAAUAUGACUUAUAGAUGACCCUCAAAUUUUUAAUUUCUAGGAAACCUUAUAUAUCAUUCAUCCUUAGAUAGCGACUUAAAGGCGUCCCUUCAAAUCAUGUGCUCUCGAUGCGUUCAGAUGCUGAUUUAUGAAAAGAUGGUGAUAUCCUCGAUGCCAGCAUUGUGUCUAGUGCGUCAAAAGAUAUAUUGAACGUUGAUGAUAUCCUCGAUGCCAGCGUUGUGUCUAGCGCAUCAACAGAUAUUAAAUGAUGAUGAUAUCCUCAAUGCCAGCAUUGUGUCUAGAGCGUCAACAGAUAUUGAAUGCCUUCUAGGGUGAUGGUAUUAGGUGGCCCUUGCGGCAAUGAUAUGAAAUGGGCCUUGCGGCAAUGACAUGAAAUUGUCCUUGCGGCAAUGAUAUGCAAUGGCCUUUGCGGUAAUGAUAUGCAAUGGCCUUUGCAGCAAUGAUAUGCAAUUGCCUUUGGGGCAAUGAUAUGUAAUAGCCUUUUCGGCAAUGAUAUGCAAUGGUCUUUGCGGCAAUGAUAAAAUAAUUUUACCUGGCUUUAUUUGUCAGUGUCCUGCUUUCUCUAUGUACCGGUACUCAAGGUAGACGAUUAGUAGACACAAAGUCGCUUCUACUAGCGACUAUUUUUAGGAAACUUCUAAAUACAACAUUUGUAAAGAAGACAAAGAGCUUUUUCUUGUCGCCUACGAUCUCAAGAAAUGAGAUGGAAAAAUCGAAAGUUCCUCAAUAAAUGGGCAUUUAACCUAUUUUUAGAGCUACCCUAAAAUACCGUUCUUGGGUAUUAAUGCUCUAUUAUGGCUCCCACUUUGCUCGGGGAUUUUUUAAAGAGACCAUCAUUUUGUAUAUUGAACCUUGCUUCCACAGAAAAAUGAUUAUUUUGAAUGAAAUUACUCUGUGUUGACCUUUUUCGAUCCUUGAUUUGCUCCUUGCCAUCUCUUGUGAAUUCCACCAUAUCGGUACUUUCAUCAUGACACUCCAUCCCAAAUGAUGUCUAGGCAAGUACUAAAUAAGUGAGUCAUAAGAUUUUUGAAAAUAGUCUUAAAUUUUUUGAAAAUAAUUUUGAAAACUUUUGUAAAACUUUAGAAAAUCUCUGUCAGUCAUGUCAUGUACUAGCUCAACGAAAGUCUUCCUCGUGGUUUUGACUAUAUCAGACGGAUGGUUUCCCAAACUCAUGAUCAUUGUUGGAGGUUUUAUUCGAAUAGUUCUAUCAUAGCCAAAAAUUGAGUCUACCCAGACUUUAUUACAAUUGGUGGCUUCCAAAUCUUGACUUUAACCUUUGGUGCUGGGGAAUUUGGAAUAUUUUCCGGCAUUUGGUGAAAUUUUGAGGUCUUCCUCAAAAUUUCUUCCCCAGCUUAAAGUUGUUUGAGAUGAUAUCAAUCCAAGUAGAUCUGAAGUCUUUGCUGAUCUUCAUUCUAUUUGUUGGAUGUCAAUCUUAUCUUCUGAAUUUUUGAGAUUCCUUCUCAAAAAUUCUGCCCCAGUUUUUAUUUCCUGGGGUUAUAUGACCGACAUGUCGGGGCGCCUACAUAUCCCGUUGAAGUAGGAAUCAGGUCAAACAUAGUUCAGGACUACGCUAGGGAUAUAUAAAGAAAAAUCUAAUGGGUUGAUUGAAGCCGACAUAGGCCGCCUAAGUAUCCCUUUUGUUGGGAAUUCAGGUCAUCACGUAGUUCAUACAUAAAGUGAAACGAUAAAUUAUCCUAAGGGGUUGACCAAAGCCGACAUAGGCUGCCUCCGUAUCCCUUUCUUUGGAAUUCAGGUCAAACGUAGUUCGUACAUAGAGGGAAAGGAUAAAUUUUCCUAAGGGGUUGGCCGAAGCUGACAUAGGCCGCCUACGUAUCGCUUUCUUUGGAAUUCAGGUCAAACGUAGUUCGUACAUAGAGGGAGAGGAUAAAUUUUGAUAAGGGGUUGACCGAAGCCGACAUAGGCUGCCUAUGUAUCCCUUUCUUUGGAAUUCAGGUCAAACGUAAUUCAUACACAGAGGGAAAGGAUUAAUUUUCCUAAGGGGUUGACCGAAGCCGACAUAGGCCGCCUAUGUAUCCCUUUAUUUGGAAAUCAGGUCAAACGUAGUUCGUAUAUAAACUCAUAAUGGCCCUAAAAAUACUCUUAUCCAUCUUACUAGGAUAUAAAUAAGUACUUCUAUGGAUGACAUGCCGUUUGCAUUGCGUUUGUCUUGAUAGAACAAAGGAUCAAAUGUCCAAUGGAGUCAUCGCCUUCCUAGUUAACCACCUCGGUUUUCUCUAGAUUAGGCUUUUUUGAUUCUCGAACUCUUUGAGUCUUCUGUCGACUUUUCUAGGGCUACCAUUAUUUUGUUUCUUGACAUGACAUGAAAAUGGCAAAUUUUAAGUUACUGUUAUACGACGGGUGAUGAAUCAUGAGUGGAGUGGAGGUCCAAUUCAAUAAUGUUUCGUCCAAUUAAACGUCCAUGAUCCCAUUUGUCUUGGAAAAAUCUCCCCUUACAUUUUUCCCUUAUUCCAUCCUCGAGACUAUCGCAUACAGGGUUGAAAAAUGAUUGGUAGAGUCCAACCAUACUACUAGUCAUUUUUCUUUUCCUGUAACAAAACUAUAGUCAAGAAGGGGAUCUCUUAUUCAUUUUGAUCUGGUGAAGCAAGGUCAUUUUGUGUCAACACAGAGUAGUUUCUAUUACCUGCAAUAAAAACAACUCAAACGCCGAUUUAUUAGUUUCCGUAUGUGAUAAGUAAUGCAAAAUACUUGAUAAGAAAUGACCACAUAGAGUUGUUUGAGUCAUAGCCAAAUUCAUCCAUAGAAGCAUAGCGGAUAAAAUUUCCUUUGAUCCAAACAAACACACAUAAGCACAUAAGGCAAUUAUAUCACACAAAACAUUAUAAUAAUGUGUAUCCUAACUGGGGUGACCCUUUUUGAGCCAAGGGUUCAGGCCUAACGAUUUUCGAGGAAAAUAUAUGCUUCCUAAAAGUCAAUACAUUAUCCCCCAAUUUUCAUAGAGGUUGUCAGGUUCGGUGACUAUUCUAAACUUUUCGCGGGAAUGCAAUUGAGCCAUAUCUACACGAAAGCAGACAAAGAUAAGCCUUCCCCCACCAUCAAAGGGUAAUGGAUUGAAUUUAGACAAGCAUAUAUUUCUUCAACACAUAAAUAUGAUUCAUCUAUAAUUGACUCGGGAUUAAUAAACGCAAGGCAGUUUUUCUAAUCGGCCCAAUACACCGCUCGGGUAUUGGGUCGCCCUAGACUUAUGCAUAAAAAUAGGGUUUCAAUUUUGCUCUAUCCUAGGUAGCCAGAGAGGGUUUGAACAAUGGUUCUUAAGCGGACAACUUGAGUUUGAAAAUAAAAACAGCCAUAAGACGACUCACGUGCUAAUAAACUGUUUGUAUUUCCAUCAGAUCUUUGAAAUUGAUCAAUAGGGGCCAGGAUACCUACGAAACGCCAAAACAGUUUAUAUAAUGCAGGAAUAUACCAUGAGUGCGAUAGUUAAAUUUUAUAGAAUCGAAACAUAUAAACACAUAAACAAUUAAUCAAAAGACGAAAUCAAACAUUCAGUUUAGAACCUAGUUCAAAAAAUCCCCACCAGAGUCGCCAUUUCUGUUUUACGAAGAAAUUUUGACUUAUUGAGAAGAGAGUCGCCACUUAAUUUUCAAAAGGAAUUAAGAACCUUUAGAAAGUUACUUCAAAUGAUUUAAAACAGAAAAAUCGUUUAAGUUAAGAGAUUCUGAGUAAGUAGUUCCUAUUAACAUUUUAGGAAGGUGUUAGGCAUCUAAAACAUCCGCUAACUUGUGGUUAUCCAAACUGUUUGAAAACGUCUUUUGAUUAACUUCUAAAAAGAUUAAUUUGUUGGAAAGUGAUUGAUUUUUUAGAAAAAAGACACGUGUAAGAUAGAUUUAGGCAACUUAGUAGGGAUUUUAACUAAGUCUAAACAAAAUUAAUAAACAAAUAAACACAUAAAAGGGAAGGGAGGAGAAAGUAAAGGAUUUAGGCCAUUAGGCCCAAAUCAACAAGACCUGUCCUAGUCUAAUUGGACUUCCGACCCAUUUCUCCUUUCACCUGUCCUAUUCCUAUGUUUUCGAGCCCUUUGGAUCAAGUUUUCGCUUCACCUGUGUUAAGUACAACUUUGGCUUCGAGGCCGAAAUGAAUGAAUAAUUAAAUAAGUAAAAUAAAUAAAAUAAGGACGUUAAUGCUUAAAUAAAUAAAACGACAAAUUAUACUUUCGCAUCUUUUUGCCGCUUCAGAUAUGGGAAUUUAACCCAUUUUUCUUCUUUUAUCUUCUUGCGCCCAUACGUCAAGUGAAUGACUUCGAACUUGGUCUUUGGAAUCGGCUAGAAGAAGUGGGCUGCAUUGGCCCACAAANNNNNNNNNNNNNNNAAGAGUCCUUGUAUGACUCAGGCAAUUUCCAUGUGAAGAACAAUAAAUAAUAUUAACAUAUGAUUGACCAAAGAAAAAGGAAAGAAAUUAAAGGAAAUUAAUGUGAGUUUAACUAAAAAUGGCAGCAUACGGAUCUUCAAUAAUAAAUAAAGUAGGAAAAUUCACAAAGGUUGGUAUGCGACUAAACAAAGAUAGAAGAAGAUAUAAAGGUAGCGAAUACGUGAUUAACUAAAGAACUACAUGACACAGAUCUUAACUAAUCUGUUAGGACAUUGUUUUCGAAGAUGGCAAAACAAAUUCAAGAAUAUAAAGGCAAAGCAUAUGACACCUUCACGACUAAUUUGGAAUAAUUGCUUAUGCACAUAGGGAUAAGAUUAGCCCACGUUGAGAAGACUCAUUAAAGGACAAUAAAUAUUUGGGUAAAAGCUCAUAGCCCAAACAAAGGCUCUUUCUUGGAAAACAUUUAAACCAAAGCAAUGAUUUUAACAUAAAAUCUUCUCACGGAAAUCACACAUUUUACAUCUAUUGGCACUCAAUCGCAACGGAGAACUAAUCAAUACCUAAAGCAUGACUUCAAGAUAUUCUCUAGAACAAACUGAUGCCUGAAACAGAGACAGUAACCAUCUUUCAUUAACACAAUUGGAGACACAACGUGAAUUGUAGAAUGCAACGCCAUCACAUAUACACACAUUUUUUUAACAUGCUCAUACGCAUGGGGAGUCUUUAAAUAUUCCGAUUAUAAGGAAAGAAAACACUAAUCUCAUGAAAAUAUUUCAAACUUUGAAUGUAAUUCAACCCAGGCAAAACCAACACCCACCAAAAUAAAAAAUGCAAUCUUGAGUAAUGACAUGAAAAUCAGAAAAUUACCGCGACUAUGGAAUAGAGAAAACAAAGAACAUGGAAAACGGAGGACACAAGAUGGAACAUUACCGGUUCAACAGUUACAAUAAUGACAAAUAGUGACGGCAAGCAAAACUAUAGAAUGCUUCAAUCCUCUUCCUCUUUCCGACCGAGUCGAACAAAAUGGUCAUUGAGAUAUCCUAGGAUUUUUGGUACGUUUUUUGGACCUUACUCUCAUUUUCCCUUUGGCAUAUAAUAAACCAAAGGAGCCUACGAGGUGGUCCUGCUAGCAACACUGCUAGCUCAACAGCCGUGACACCAACUAGUGGUAACCACAUGAUCAACACAGUCAAACAACAACUAUGAACCAAACAGCAUCUGGCUAGAAACUGCUAAAUAAACUAAAAGCAACAGACUUUAGCCAAAAAACCAAUCAUUCUAUCCACAAGCAAUACGCCAAGAGAGACAUUAGGCCGAAGAUUAAUCCACAACACCAAAAGUGGCUGACAGAUUACGGAACCAAGAUUAGAAAAAAGGGAACAGACGGAAACGAUGUGAUACAAUCCGAAUAAGAAUUAAUCCUAACAUAACAAUACAUCCAAAACUUUUCACUAAAAAAAAAACCUUAUAUGGUCUUUAAAACCUCUAAAGCAGUCAGCCCAGCAUACAAGAUAAUCUCAAAUUGCUUAGGACUACAGAAUAGUGAGAUGAAGCAGAAGCAAUCUUAAGCUUAAAGGAAUAGGAAGUUACCUUACAGGAAGCGGCAAAACGGGACGUGAGAUAUCAGUAAAAUUGUCACCACGGGGAGCUAAUAUUGCCGACUCAAGAAUUCCCAAUCAAUCGACUAGCUUUCCAGAAAAGAAUGAACGAGAGAAUUUUCGCGAAAUAAACUUUUACUUUCAGAAUUUCCCAAAAUUCAAACCUAUCUUUGGAAAUAGUAUCCCCAAAAGAANNNNNNNNNNNNNNNNNNNNNNNNNNNNNNNNNNNCCCCAAUUUUCAAACCAGCCUAAAAAUUUCUCCUUCAGUUUCUUUCAAAACCUUCGAAUCUUCGACCUAAACUUCAAACUAAAAUACUCAAAACUUUUCCUUUCUCUCAGACCUCAAAAAUUCAAACCAUACAAAUGAUGCAGAAGAAAACCCUUCCCUUUUUGAACCUCCCCCCAUUUUCGACUGAUUAAUUUUUUUUCUAAGAGCCUAAAAUGAGAAAAUCCCCUUCCAGAAGAGAAAGAAGAACACUAAAACAAUGGCCCCAAGGGCCUUUAUAGAAGAAAGGGUUGGGGCAUUUUCGGAACUCGGAAGAAGGAAUUUUGAAUUCCAAUUUCAAAAUCCCCCCCCAAUGAGAAAUCUCCACCAACGUACGAAUUUGUACCAUGGUACCCGAGAUUCGUGGGAUUUGAACGUUGGGGUGAGCCAACUCACCCAUUUCUAGAAGCUUUCUUAAAUUUCCACGGCAAACAAAUGAAAUCUAGGAGGGUCGAAGUCGGGUCGAUGUUGGUGUUGUUGUUUCGGAUAUGGGAGAUGGGUUAGCUGGUUGUUGAUAUUGUUGGGUUCUGAAUUUGCAAUGUUGUCGUUGCUUUCAAUCGGAGUGGAGGUGUAGGUGUUGUUCGCUGUUUUUGUUGAGAUUGAAGGACUGUUGAUGUUAUUGCUGGUUUGUUUUGUGGAGAUUGUACGCUGGUUAAGUGAAAGUGGGAGGAGGAUUGGGCCGAAUCAAGAUCUGUUGGGCCUUAGUGGAUGCAGACGGAUUUGGGCCUGAUCCCUUUUUAUUAAUUAAAAGGGAGUUGCUGAUAUGCAAAUUUGGGCCUUUAAAUUGGUUAAGUUUUCGAGUGUUGGGUAGAUUGUGGGAUUACUUAGAAAAUUAACACCAAUUUUAAUUCAGUUCAUUCUAUUUAAAUUUUAACCAAAUCAAAAUUCAAUUAGCCAAUUGUAUUGCAAUUAUGAUCCAUUAGUUUCAGUUAUGGUCAAAUUCAAUAGCUUGGCUAAAUUAAAAUAAAUCUCGAUACAAAUUAAUACCUCUUUUAAUCCCAAAUUUCAUGAUUUAAUAAAAUCAAACAAAUAUAUAUCCAAAUAAAAUAUUUGAGAAUAAAUUUUGUUUAAAUCAAGACUUUAAUUAUUUAUUUAUUUUUCAAAUAAUCCUUAAUAUAAAGCCCAAUGUGAGGAAAAUGUUCAUUUAAUUGACAUCAUUUAUACAAUUUCGUAUAUGCAAAUACGAAAAUAUAUAAUUAUCACUUAAAUGACAAAAUUAGCCCAAAUACCUAUUUUAAAAUGCAUUUAUUUGGAAAAAUAAUUGUUGUGAUUUUAUUUGAAAAUCGAAGAAGCUCGAGAUUAAAUGUAGUUGUGGAGGGUAAAAAUUAGGUGUCAACAACUGCUGGGUCAUGUUGUGCUCAGUUGUUGUGGAUCAAACAACAAAUUUUGGAUUUUGGGGUAGAUGUAGGUUGUGUUUCCAUCUUUUGUGAUAACACAAGUGCUAUAAACAUAGCCAAAAACACUGUCCAACACAAGAAAACUAAGCAUAUUGAUAUUCGCCAUCACAAGAAAACUAAGCAUAUUGAUAUUUGUCAUCACUUUCUUAGAGAAAAUGGUGAAAAAGAAAAUGUAUCAAUUAUGUUUUGUUCAACUGAGGAAUAAAUUACUGACAUAUUUAUUAAGGCUUUGAGUAGGGAACACUUUGUAAAAAAUAGGUUAGCAUUGGGGAUGAUUAAAAUUGCAUAAAUAUCCCUCAGUGAUUGACUAGAAUAUGCUAUGCCUUAGUGAGUGUUGAUUAAUUCAGUCUUACACAUUUAGUUGUGUAUCCUAAUUCCAAGAUUUUAAAGCAUAGUGGUAUAACCAUGUGUUGUUUUUUGCAGAUAGACUGGAUCAUCAAGACAACAGUGGUUAUGGACUAAUCAAAAAAUAGGUAUGAUUACUGUUUUCCAUAGUAUCAUUAAGAGAAACGGGUUAUCUACAUGGUUCUCUCUGUUAUGAUUAAAACCGCCAAAACCCAACAGUCUUCUUCUUCGAAAGGCUGACAGACCUUUCCCAUUAGUACAAAACUUCUAUAUCAGUACGUUUCUCCAAAUCACAGUUUCCUCACGUUUCAACUUCCUUCUCAUUCCUCUUAAAUAUGCCUCUUAUUUUCUCUUCCAUCUCCAGUUUUUUUCAACCUCUGAAAAUCCAACAAGCUAUGGUGUAUUCCUCCCCCUCUCCUUCCUCCACAAAAUCUACUACUAAUCCUUAAAAAAAAAUUAUUCUUCACCCAAACAUCACUUUAGCUUCACUUAUCCGACCCUAAAUUUCUCUCAAAUUAUCUGAUUUUCCAUUGUUCAAAACUUUACCACAACUCUUCUCUCACUCCUCUUUCAAACCCUCACUUUUUUCAAAACCCUUACUACUACUUGUGGUUUCUCUUCAGAUCCUUGAUCGAGAUGACGUUCCUAUUGCUCACCUUAUCCCUAGAAGGUAAAGAUCAACUCUAAAAUGAAAACCAUCUUUUCUCACUAUUAAUGUUGAUGCCGAUACUCAGGUACAAUCUUCUCCCAUCAUCCAUUCAACUCGAACUCUACAUACUCGGGGAAAGAAACAACGGGAAGAUGCUUAUUUGGAAGAGGCACUUAGGGAAAGUAAAAAAAAAUGAGUAGUGUCUACUGCUUCUCUCCCAUGUGAUCCCUCUCCUGAUAUUCUCCUUCUCUCCAAAUGAAAACAAAAGCAUAUUAUAGCUAAAACCUCAAAGCCCUCAUUCUCUCAUAAAUUGUCCUCCUCUCCCACUCCCAAAGCCUCCUCAUCCUCAAAAUCCACUGUCAAAGCUUCUACUAUAAAAGUCUCUACUGGUAAAGGGUCAACCUCUUCUAAAGAUUCUAUAAACUCUACUUCACUUCCAAAUAAACAAGUUCCCAAGCCUAUUUCUUCUAACCCAUCUUACACAAAUUCAGACUCUCUUCCUGAUACUCCUUAUGUUCCUUCUACUUCCAUUGAUUCUGAUAGUGAUAUUCAUGUUGAUACUGCUCAAACCAUGCUCUGCACUUUCAGAAAUGAAAGAUGGCUAGAGGUAGAGUUGUCACUGCCUUUGGGGGUUCUGAUAUAGAUAUGUUAGUUUCAAAAUUGAGAGCUUAGGGGUAGUCGUACUUGUUUCUGCAAAGUGAUCAUCAAAGAAGGUUUGGUAUAAAUGAGGUAUAUGAGUUUUAUACAAAUAGAGUUGUGAUUGGAGAAAUGAUCUCAACCACUGUUCAUGGAAAACCAUCAAUCUUUAUUCUGCUAAUCUUGGUAGAAUUCUUAGUGUUCCUACUGGAGGUUGGGGUCAUUAUAUGAAGGGAUCCUGGCCACCUCUUGAUAAUCUUCCACAGUUCUUGAUAUCUAUAGAAAAUUCUCUGGGAAUCCUCUUCUUUUUCUCAUUGUAGGGUGAUAAAAAAUAAGAUGUCCCCUCUCUAUCAGUUUAUUUUGAUGUGGUUCACAAAAUGAUCUUGCCCAGGCAGGAAAGGCACACAGUUGCAAGUUUUCUUGAUCUUACCUUGAUGUAACUAUUGGAUUCUGAGAUUCCAAUAGACCUUCCUCUACUCAUCAUUAAGCAUAUGCAAAGGGUACUUGCCAAAGAUACAAAUGGUCGAGUUUUAUACAAAUAGAGUUGUGAUUGGAGAAAUGAUCUCAACCACUGUUCAUGGAAAACCAUCAAUCUUUAUUCUGCUAAUCUUGGUAGAAUUCUUAGUGUUCCUACUGGAGGUUGGGGUCAUUAUAUGAAGGGAUCCUGGCCACCUCUUGAUAAUCUUCCACAGUUCUUGAUAUCUAUAGAAAAUUCUCUGGGAAUCCUCUUCUUUUUCUCAUUGUAGGGUGAUAAAAAAUAAGAUGUCCCCUCUCUAUCAGUUUAUUUUGAUGUGGUUCACAAAAUGAUCUUGCCCAGGCAGGAAAGGCACACAGUUGCAAGUUUUCUUGAUCUUACCUUGAUGUAACUAUUGGAUUCUGAGAUUCCAAUAGACCUUCCUCUACUCAUCAUUAAGCAUAUGCAAAGGGUACUUGCCAAAGAUACAAAUGGUCAUGAUCUACCCUACCAGUUCUGGCUUGCAUCUCUUUUCAAUGAUUUUUGUGUACUGGUCCUUGCAGACUACUAAGGAUGUGAUUGGACAAGUGAACCAUGAUAGGUUACCUACUGCUAUGAGACAUGUAGAAAACCCUAUGCAAAAGUUGAGAAAUGCCUUAGAGGCAAAGUAGGGUGAGCUGGAGGUUGCACAGGCUGCAUUGAAGGCUACCCAGACUAUUCAUGAAGAUGAAAAGAGGGUCCUUGAAGCUCAAAUUGCUUCUCUCACAAUCACCUAUGAUAAGGAAUGAACAUAAAAUGCUGAUAUCAUUAGGAAUUUGACCUCCCUUAUCCCCUCCACCUCCUCUAAUUAAAAUCCUUCUUUGUCCCUUAGGCCUUUUCACUAUGUUGUUCUUCUGUCUAACUUUUUUCUCUUUUUGUUUUACUGGGUAAUGAUAAUUGUAUCUAUUUUUUUGUGCAUGAAAUGGACCUUUUUUCAUUCACUUGAUCUACUUCUGGUUAAUUCAAUGCAUAGUUAUCUCUUUCUCUGAGUCUUGCUUGUUUUAGUGAUAUCCCAGUAGCCAUGAAUUAUUAAACAAUUUUCACUUGAUGGCUCAACUUUUCGAUGAUGUCAAAAGGGGGAAGAAUAGAUUAUACAAUUCUUAUAACUCAAUUGGACUAACCUGUUUCAUUCUACUGUGAUUCUGUUAUUUAAUUCCUUCUUGAGUAUGUUAGGAUUUUGUGAUGUUAAAGCUACUAUGGUUGCCAACAUCAAAAAAGGAGAAUUUGUUAAGGCAUGAGGAGUUUUGAUGAUAGACAUGUGAAUGAAACGUGUUAUAGAAAAUGGUCCAUUCAAGUGAAAUAGUCUAGCUGGCACAAGAGUUUGGAUGAUAUGAUUCUGCACUCAAGACAAGCAUAGAUAACAUUGAUCACAUAAAAAGCUGAGUCAAACAAGAACUCUUGAAGAAGUCAAGUUGAUCAAGGAGUUCAGUAAGAAGAGGAUUUGAAGUAAAAAAGUCCUAUCAAAUCUAGGAUAGGUGAGGUAGCAGCAAAAGGAAAAGAGUUAACUGAUAGAGUUCUACUGAAGAAAGAAUUGAACAUCAAAAAGGACUCUAUCAUAGGUUGGCUUAAAUACAACAAAUGUGACUCAAAUCCAAUACUCACGCACACACUAAAAAGUUAAUCAACAAUCAGUAUAUCAGUUCACAUACUUGAAGAAGAAC